UUUGAGGGAUUGUGUUAGCAUAUAAAAACGCACCCAAAGAACAAGUGGAACGAUGAACGAGUCACAAAGGUGAAGUUGCUUAGUGUUGAUUACGAAUAGGAAGCAUGCUCACUUAGGACCGGACGAGGCCUUAGUGAUUUAAUAAUGACAUUAGUCUAUGUUUGAUUUGCUUGUUUAACUUAAGACAAUGUUUAAUAUUUAAUGAAAUGAAACUCUUCGUGUCCAUGGUUUGAA
rnacentral:lncRNA from 1 species